rnacentral:rRNA from 1 species
GACGAACGCUGGCGGCGUGCUUAACACAUGCAAGUCGAACGGAAAGGCCCUGCUUUUGUGGGGUGCUCGAGUGGCGAACGGGUGAGUAACACGUGAGUAACCUGCCCUUGACUUUGGGAUAACUUCAGGAAACUGGGGCUAAUCCCGGAUAGGAGCUCCUGCUGCAUGGUGGGGGUUGGAAAGUUUCGGCGGUUGGGGAUGUACUCGCGGCUUAUCAGCUUGUUGGUGGGGUAGUGGCUUACCAAGGCUUUGACGGGUAGCCGGCCUGCGAGGGUGACCGGCCACAUUGGGACUGAGAUACGGCCCAGACUCCUACGGGAGGCAGCAGUGGGGAAGAUUGCACAAUGGGCGGAAGCCUGAUGCAGCAACGCCGCGUGCGGGAUGACAGCCUUCGGGUUGUAAACCGCUUUCGCCUGUGACGAAGCGUGAGUGACGGUAAUGGGUAAAGAAGCACCGGCUAACUACGUG